rnacentral:rRNA from 1 species
AUGGCUGACGAUGCUGGCUAUUGUUUUGUGGUAGAUAUAAAGUUCAGUGGUAAAAGAGUUGCCAUUCUUGGGCUUGGCAGGAUAGGCUUAGCCAUAGCAAAAAGAGCUGAAGCAUUUGGUUGCUCAAUCAGUUAUCAUUCAAGAUCAGAGAAGCCAUUUCCAAACUACAAGUUCUUUACAAAUGUUGUUGACCUGGCAGCCAAUUGUGACGUGCUUAUUGUAGCAUGUUCGCUUAAUGCCGAGACACAUCACAUGGUCAAUCGUAAGGUCAUGGAUGCGUUAGGACCGGAUGGUGUGCUCAUAAACAUUGGGCGUGGAGCACUUGUGGAUGAACCUGAGCUUGUGUCUGCUCUUCUUGAGAAACGCCUUGGCGCAGCAGGCCUUGAUGUGUUUGAGCAUGAGCCCUUUGCUGCGGAGCAACUUUUCAGCUUAGAUAAUGUUGUUUUGGUCCCUCAUGUAGGAAGUGAUACCGAAGAAACAUGCAAGGCAAUGGCUGAUCUGGUUCUAAAGAAUUUAGAGGCACAUGCUCUUAAUAAGCCCUUACUCACCCCAGUGCCCUGA